GUGAUGCUAUUUUAGACUGUUACCAAGCGAUUAUACAUGUCUUGCAAGAAGAAAUAGAAAAUGAGAACGACAAAGAUGUUAAUGAAGCUAUAGGAAUAUUUACUAACUUGCAAAAAGGAUCUUUUAUUGUAAAUUUGUUUGUUAUGCGCCAAGUACUUAGUAUCAUUAAUGUUCUAAGUAAUAUGAUGCAGGAUAAAAAAUGCCACCUUAGGAAAAUCGGUUGUGAUAAUAAAGAGUAUUAUAACAAGCUUUGAAAGUUCUCGAACAGCCGAAUCUUUUAUUGAGAUUUGGCAGUCAAUAAAAAAAUUUGCAGAUGACAACAAUAUUUCAUUAGAUAUUCCUUUCCAAGCGCGAGAUUCGAAGAGAAAGCGAAGAGAGCCUAACAAUCUUAAUAAUUAUAUAGUAACUAAUACAACAAGUGCAAUAUAUGAACCAGUUGAGUCCACCGAAUCUGUUGAAGAUUAUUAUAGAAUAAACAUUUAUUAUAAGAUAUUAGACUCCAUUAUAGAAAAUUUGAAAAAAAGAUUUUCCCUAGAGAGUUUAAGUUUAGCUAUUUCUAUUGACAAAUUUAUGCAACUUAAUUAUGAAGGGAGUUUGACAUUUAUU